UUUCGCAAUGCCCGAAAGGGUGACGAAGCGACGCCGCGUGGGUGAGGAAGGCCUCCGGGUUGUAAAGCCCUGUCAGGAGUUAAGAAAUGUAAGUGCGCUAAUAUCGCAUUUAUUUGACGAAGGCCCCAAAGGAAGCCACGGCUAACUCUGUGCCAGCAGCCGCGGUAAUACAGAGGUGGCAAGCGUUGUUCGGAAUUAUUGGACGUAAAGAGCACGUAGGUGGGUUUGUAAGUCAGAUGUGAAAGCCUUCUGUUCAACGGAAGAAUUGCAUCUGAAACUGCGAGUCUUGAGUGUAGGAGGGGAGAAUGGAACUUCUGGUGGAGCGGUGAAAUGCGUAGAUAUCAGAAGGAACGCCGGCGGCGAAAGCGAUUCUCUGGCCUAUUACUGACACUCAGUGUGCGAAAGCUAGGGGAGCAAACGGGAUUAGAUACCCCGGUAGUCCUAGCCGUAAACGAUGGGCACUAAGUAGAGGGGUUUU
rnacentral:rRNA from 1 species